rnacentral:rRNA from 1 species
CGUAGGUGGCAAGCGUUGUCCGGAUUUAUUGGGUUUAAAGGGUGCGUAGGCGGCUUUGUAAGUCAGUGGUGAAAUACUCCAGCUCAACUGGAGAGGUGCCAUUGAUACUGCAGAGCUAGAGUACUGAUGAGGUAGGCGGAAUGGACGGUGUAGCGGUGAAAUGCUUAGAUAUCGUCCAGAACACCGAUAGCGAAGGCAGCUUACUAAAGAGUAACUGACGCUGAGGCACGAAAGUGUGGGGAUCAAACAGGAUUAGAUACCCUGGUAGUCCACACUGUAAACGUUGAUCACUAGAUGUUGGCGAUACACUGCCAGCGUUCCGGCAAAAGCGAUAAGUGAUCCACCUGGGGAGUACGCCCGCAAGGGUG